rnacentral:rRNA from 1 species
AGGACGAACGCUUGCGACGUGCCUAAGAAAUGCAAGUCGAACGGGGGAGAGCUUCGGCUCGAACUAGUGGCGAACGGUCGCGUAACACGUGGGCAACCUGCCCUGAAGCGGGGGACAACAACUCGAAAGAGUUGCUAAUACCGCAUGUGAAUUGCUAUGGCAUCAUGGCGUAUUCAAAGCCGCAAGGCACUUCAGGAUGGGCCCGCGGCCUAUCAGCUAGUUGGUGAGGUAACGGCCCACCAAGGCUUCGACGGGUAGCUGGUCUGAGAGGACGAUCAGCCGGAUUGGGACUGAGAUACGGCCCAGACUCCUACGGGGGGCAGCAAUUAGGAAUCUUGCGCAAUGGGCGAAAGCCUGACGCAGCGACGUCGCGUGAAGGAUGAAAUCUUUCGGGAUGUAAACUUCUUUUACCAGGGUAAGAAUAAUGACGGUACCUGGUGAAUAAGCCCGGCUAACUACGCGCCAGCAGCCGCGGUAA